GCUGGCCAGAGCUGGGCCUGACUGUAGCCAGGAGUUCAUCUCUGACACUGAAGUUGCCUUCUCAGGACAAUCAGCAGGGAACUGCAUCAGAAUUGGAACAGUUAAGAUUCAGAACAGUGUGAAUAUGCAAUAUCAACAUUCCAGGAGCCAGCUGGACCCUCUGUCACAAUAUUGAUUCCUUGAUUUAAUUUUAGAAGGCCUUGAGGGAAUAAGAAGCCAAGCCAAAACAAUUUGAAGCCUAACUAAAGAGCCCUAUCUGGCAUUGUGUGAGAUCCUGAACUAAAGAUGUCCUUUCCUGUAAGGAAAAACACCCAGGUGAAUGGCAUGGAUUCUGAUUUUCUCUGUAUUUGCUAUAGACAGGUGUCACCUCAAGGAAUGGAAUUAAUUCACUAUGAAGUGGACAUUAGUCAGUGAGAGGACAGAACAUAAGAGGGAAAGUGAAAGAAAGCUGUUCCUCUACUACUUCCUCUGGACUAUUUUAAAAUACAGUAAUCUAAGUGUCUCCCUAAAGCUGUGAGUGAGAGUGGCACCGUGGUGCAGCGAGCUCAACUACCUAUAUCAGUGCUGUGAUCACAUAUCAGAACACCAACUCAUACACCGUUUGCUCCACUCCUGAAACGUCUCCCUCUAAUGCAGCUAGGAAAACAUCAGAGGAAGGUCCAAAUGCUUGGGACCCUGUUCUUCAUGUAGGAUUCCUGUCUAGAGUUCCUGGCUCCUGAGUCUGGCUCAACCCUAGUUGCUGUGGCCAUUCUGACAUGAAAAAGAGGAUGGGAGAUCU